GUGUCAGCAGCCGCGGUAAUACGUAGGUGGCGAGCGUUGUCCGGAAUUACUGGGCGUAAAGGGCGCGUAGGCGGCUCUUUAAGUCAGAUGUGAAAACCCAGGGCUUAACUCUGGGACUGCAUUUGAAACUGAAGGGCUUGAGUGCAGGAGAGGUAAGUGGAAUUCCUAGUGUAGCGGUGAAAUGCGUAGAUAUUAGGAGGAACACCAGUGGCGAAGGCGACUUACUGGACUGUAACUGACGCUGAGGCGCGAAAGCGUGGGGAGCAAACAGGAUUAGAUACCCUGGUAGUCCACGCUGUAAACGAUGGAUACUAGGUGUGGGAGGUAUCGACCCCUUCCGUGCCGCAGUAAACGCAAUAAGUAUCCCGCCUGGGGAGUACGGCCGCAAGGUUGAA
rnacentral:rRNA from 1 species